rnacentral:rRNA from 1 species
GAUGAACGCUGGCGGCGUGCCUAAUACAUGCAAGUCGAGCGAACGGACGAGAAUCUUGCUUCUCUGAUGUUAGCGGCGGACGGGUGAGUAACACGUGGAUAACCUACCUAUAAGACUGGGAUAACUUCGGGAAACCGGAGCUAACACCGGAUAAUAUUUUGAACCGCAUGGUUCAAAAGUGAAAGACGGUCUUGCUGUCACUUAUAGAUGGAUCCUGGCUGCAUUAGCUAGUUGGUAAGGUAACGGCUUACCAAGGCUACGAUGCGUAGCCGACCUGAGAGGGUGAUCAGUCACACUGGAACUGAGACACGGUCCAGACUCCUACGGGAGGCAGCAGUGGGGAAUAUUGGACAAUGGGCGAAAGCCUGAUCGAGCAACGCCGCGUGUGUGAUGAAGGUCUUCGGAUCGUAAAGCUCUGUUAGUAGGGAAGAACAUAUGUGUAAGUAACUGUGCACGUCUUGACGGUACCUAAACAGAAAGCCCCGGCUAACUACGUG